rnacentral:rRNA from 1 species
GACGAACGCUGGCGGCGUGCUUAACACAUGCAAGUCGAACGGAAAGGCCCUGCUUUUGUUGGGUGCUCGUUUGGCGAACGGGGGAGUAACACGUGAGUAACCUGCCCUUGACUUUGUGAUAACUUCAGGAAACUGGGGCGAAUACCGGAUAGGAGCUCCUGCUGCAUGUGGUUGGUUGGAAAGUUUCGGCGGUUGUGGCUGGACUCGCGGCUUAUCAGCUGGUUGGGCGGGUAGUGGCGUACCAAGGCUUUGACGGGUAGCCUGCCUGAGAGGGUGAACGGCCACCAUGGGCCUGAGAUACGGAGCAGAAUGCAACGGGCGGCAGUAGUGGAGAACCUUGCACAAUGGGGGGACGCCUGAUGCAGAAAUGCUGGGUGCGGGAUGCCGGCCUUCGGGUGGUAAACAGAUUUCGCCUGUGACGAAGCGUGCGUGACGGUACCGGGUCAAGAAGCAACGGCUAACUACGUG